rnacentral:rRNA from 1 species
GCUACAGGCUUAACACAUGCAAGUCGAGGGGCAGCAUGGUCUUAGCUUGCUAAGGCCGAUGGCGACCGGCGCACGGGUGAGUAACACGUAUCCAACCUGCCGUCUACUCUUGGACAGCCUUCUGAAAGGAAGAUUAAUACAAGAUGGCAUCAUGAGUCCGCAUGUUCACAUGAUUAAAGGUAUUCCGGUAGACGAUGGGGAUGCGUUCCAUUAGAUAGUAGGCGGGGUAACGGCCCACCUAGUCUUCGAUGGAUAGGGGUUCUGAGAGGAAGGUCCCCCACAUUGGAACUGAGACACGGUCCAAACUCCUACGGGAGGCAGCAGUGAGGAAUAUUGGUCAAUGGGCGAGAGCCUGAACCAGCCAAGUAGCGUGAAGGAUGACUGCCCUAUGGGUUGUAAACUUCUUUUAUAAAGGAAUAAAGUCGGGUAUGGAUACCCGUUUGCAUGUACUUUAUGAAUAAGGAUCGGCUAACUCCGUGCCAGCAGCCGCGGUAAUACGGAGGAUCCGAGCGUUAUCCGGAUUUAUUGGGUUUAAAGGGAGCGUAGAUGGAUGUUUAAGUCAGUUGUGAAAGUUUGCGGCUCAACCGUAAAAUUGCAGUUGAUACUGGAUAUCUUGAGUGCAGUUGAGGCAGGCGGAAUUCGUGGUGUAGCGGUGAAAUGCUUAGAUAUCACGAAGAACUCCGAUUGCGAAGGCAGCCUGCUAAGCUGCAACUGACAUUGAGGCUCGAAAGUGUGGGUAUCAAACAGGAUUAGAUACCCUGGUAGUCCACACGGUAAACGAUGAAUACUCGCUGUUUGCGAUAUACUGCAAGCGGCCAAGCGAAAGCGUUAAGUAUUCCACCUGGGGAGUACGCCGGCAACGGUGAAACUCAAAGGAAUUGACGGGGGCCCGCACAAGCGGAGGAACAUGUGGUUUAAUUCGAUGAUACGCGAGGAACCUUACCCGGGCUUAAAUUGCAGAUGAAUUACGGUGAAAGCCGUAAGCCGCAAGGCAUCUGUGAAGGUGCUGCAUGGUUGUCGUCAGCUCGUGCCGUGAGGUGUCGGCUUAAGUGCCAUAACGAGCGCAACCCUUGUUGUCAGUUACUAACAGGUUCCGCUGAGGACUCUGACAAGACUGCCAUCGUAAGAUGUGAGGAAGGUGGGGAUGACGUCAAAUCAGCACGGCCCUUACGUCCGGGGCUACACACGUGUUACAAUGGGGGGUACAGAGGGCCGCUACCACGCGAGUGGAUGCCAAUCCCCAAAACCUCUCUCAGUUCGGACUGGAGUCUGCAACCCGACUCCACGAAGCUGGAUUCGCUAGUAAUCGCGCAUCAGCCACGGCGCGGUGAAUACGUUCCCGGGCCUUGUACACACCGCCCGUCAAGCCAUGGGAGCCGGGGGUACCUGAAGUGCGUAACCGCGAGGAGCGCCCUAGGGUAAAACUGGUGACUGGGGC